rnacentral:lncRNA from 1 species
UGUCGUCUGAGUGAGUCCGUGCUGCAGCUUUGGUGGGGCGGUGUGUUGCUGUUGGAUCGAUUCUGGUUACUGCUCUCUCGUCGGCGUGAAGGUGUCGCGUGGAGGACUGGGCAUGUUGUGUGUGGGGGGUGGUUUCGUGGAUGUUGAUGUGAAGUGGGGAAUUUGGGUGGAUAGUCGGUGACCAGCUAGUAGUAGUCUUCCGGCGCGGACAGUUGAACCUCGCUGCGUGCAUCGUAGUGCCUGAAUUUUUUUAUCCAAUUGUUCCGCCUGCCUGUUUUGUUAGUCCGCUAGUGUACUGCCUCAACACUUUUGUGUUCAAUCUAUCGCCUUUGGAGGCACAUGUGCACAUGUCAGUCGUCCGGUAGUGCGAAUCAGCUGCUUUGCACAUGUACACCGUAGUUGCGGUGGUUGGUUCUCCACCAACUUCUCGCCCUGUCCUUCCCUUUCAGAGCUUGACUUUGGCUUCAUAAGAUUACGUAACCUCCCUUCCCCCCCUAUCAGAAACACUUGUGCUUAUAAACUUCACACAAGAUUUCAGAAACAUUCUAUAAAUCCGAUUACCUUUGUUAUUUUUAAUGUCCAUGUCGGUGGAAUUGGUAGCGAGCUGAUUUGUCCUCGCUCUUACUCCGCUGACAAUCGAAUGAAUUGGCACUAUACAUGGCGUUCAGGAGCACAUGCAGGAGAAUGGACACAAGAAAGUGAAGACUGUCGACGAGUGGCUGCCUGUGACCGGCGAUCGCAAAGCCAAAUGGUGGUACUCCGCCUUCCACAAUGUUACCGCAAUGGUGGGCGCCGGAGUGCUGGGAUUGCCCAACGCCAUGGUCUACUUAACAUGGUGAGGGCUCCUCACGUUUUGUCUAAUCCGUCUCAGAGUCACACAGUUUCAUGUUGCAGUUUGCGGCAGUGGGCACAAGUAACGGAAUGGCUAUUCACAUGCAGGGGACCGGGAGUGGUGGUGCUGGUGGUGUCGUGGAUGAUCACGCUGUACACGCUCUGGCAGAUGGUGGAAAUGCACGAGAUGGUCGAGGGGAAGCGUUUCGAUCGGUACCAUGAGCUCGGACAGGAGGCAUUCGGACACGAUCUGGGCUUGUGGAUCGUAGUUCCCCAGCAAUUAAUCGUCGAGGUCGGUGUCGAUAUCGUGUACAUGGUUACAGGCGGAACGUCACUGCAGAAUUUCUACAAGCUUGUGUGCUCAGGCAACUGCCCGAUGGCACACCACACAAGUGCCUGGAUCGCAAUCUUCUCGUCAGUGCAUUUCGUUCUGGCGCAGUUGCCGAACUUCAACUCCAUUGCCGGGGUCUCCUUGGCUGCCGCUAUCAUGUCCUUGAGGUAAUUCGGUCAUUGAAUGCUGUUGCAAUCGGCAUCAGGUUGGUCGGUAGUAUCGACAACGACUCCCUUAACCUAUCGAUUUGUGUGCAGUUACUCGACGAUCGCGUGGGCCAUUCCAGCUUCCUACGGCCAUAGCACACCCCUCGUCGGCCCCGUAAACUACAAGCUCCCGGUUCAGUCUGUGUCAGCGCAUGUAUUCAAUGCCUUCAACGCCCUUGGGACCGUCGCAUUCGCUUACGCAGGCCACAAUGUCGUCCUGGAGAUUCAAGCCACGAUCCCCUCCACGAAGGAGCGGCCCUCCAAGAUCCCCAUGUGGAGAGGCGUGGUGCUGGCCUACAUCAUCGUUGCCAUCUGUUACUUCCCCGUCGCGCUCAUUGGCUACUGGGCUUACGGCAAUCAAGUCACAGACAACAUCCUCGGUUAUGUCGGUAGGCCGAGGGGGGUCGUGGCCAUGGCGAACCUCAUGGUUGUCGUUCACGUUAUUGGAAGCUACCAGAUCUACGCCAUGCCUGUUUUUGAUAUGUUAGAGUCUGUUCUUGUGAAACGCUUCCGGCUUGCUCCCUCCAGGAAGCUACGGCUCGUCACUCGCUCGCUCUACGUCGGUGAGUGACCCACGCAGAUCUGGCGUCUUUUUGAUAAUUACUCGCUGACCAUCUCCGUAGCCAAGAUUGAUGACCUUAAAUCUCCCCUCGUGCAAACAUGAGAUGUAAUGCUCAUCGUUAAUGGUGCAGCUUUUACUGCGUUUGUCGGUAUGACGUUCCCCUUCUUUGGAGCUCUUCUUGGUUUCUUCGGAGGAUUCGCCUUCGCUCCUACAACAUACUUUGUAAGAAUCUAGUCUACCGACUCAAUGUUGCAGCUCGUUAUUCUUAGUGAUCUCUUUUCCUUUAAGCGCUCGUACUUGUGUAGUGUUUGACUAGGAAUUGAAGCACUUAUCCAAGUGUUUGUGAAAUUGUGGCAGCUGCCGUGUAUCAUGUGGCUGUGCAUCGUCAAGCCCAAGGCAUUCAGUUUCUCGUGGAUUUUGAACUGGGUCAUCAUAUUCCUGGGAGUGCUGCUCAUGCUGGUUUCGUCCAUCGGAGGUUUGAGGGCGAUAAUUGUGUCCGCAUCAACCUACAAAUUCUACGAAUGAGCGAUCAUCUGGAUGGUGGAUAGGCUCUAUCAAUCAAGAUGGGGAUUACACCCACAUAAAACGAAAGUCGUGAUCUUAGAUAGAAUGCUGGACAGGUUCAUCGCAGCGUGUACAUUACUUGUGAAUCAUGGUUUCGUUGCUUCCAAAGGAUUGCUUUUACACUUCUGUAAAAGCAUAAUGCAGCUCGACCCUUUGUAAAAUGAAAAGCAAACGUUUGGCCUUGCUGCCCUGCGAACCUUGUGAACGAACUUAUUUGUCUCCAUUCCAUGUGUUUCGCGAUUCGCAAUUGCAUUGUAUUGCACUUGCAUAGAGGGUUCUGUCAAUGCAUAUGUGCCCUUGCUUAACCUCGUUAUGUCAUUGUUCGAAGUGGCAUGGCCUUCGGCUUUUUGUACUGAUAUUCUGUUGAGACUGACUCCCUUUCAGCUUCAUAUCAGAACUUUGGACUUCAUUUCCCAACUUCAGACUGAUCUGUGAACCCGUUCUUGCACUCCUAAUCGAUGAAAAAAGUAGUACAUUGACCUCGCUGUACACGUGGAUUUGCAAUUAGUCAAUCAUGCAUGGCAGCGUUCGCUUGCUGUUUGUUCGAGUGAAUUUGAGAACAGCAGGAUGUGUGAAGCACGAUACAUACAGAAACUAUCCAAGGAUAUCAGCAAAGAGCGUUCGGAAAUGUGGGUUCCCACCGCAGUGGACUCUAAACUCUCCCGGUUGUGGCAUUCGCAGCGCGCAACUGUUUCCUUGCAUGACAAAAUCGCAGCUAAUGUAAUAAAGACAAGUGAAAUGAGGGCCAUGGUUCACAAAACGUAGCAAUUAUUCAACAUCCAAAAGGAUAUACGCCAGCAAUAUGCAUCAACAGUGGUACAUUAGAUGCAGUGAACGGAUUUGAUACUAAAUCUCGCAUGGGCUGGAGGAAAAUAGCAUACCGACUGCUCCGACCCAGUUGUUUCACUUCCUGCACUGCUUGGAGCAUUCAAGCAUUGCUUCCUUAUGUCGAUGCACUUGGUCUAACAAUUUUUGCAUGCUCCAAGAAGUUUGGAUGGAAAAUACUGCUUGAAGUGAUACUGCGUGAUCAGGGUGGAGCUAGAGAGAGAGAGCUUUAGGAAAUUCUAGAGGUUGUAGAGAAUAGAUUUAUGUUUAAAGAAAGAAAGAAAAGACCAUAGUUGGAUUAGGAUUUUAAGAUGGUUACUUAUGUUGUUUGUGGUUAGAAUUGUGGAAAUGAAACCGUGGAGGACAAUUCUUGAUUGUAUAAUUGGAGCAGUAAGGUUUUGAUUGAAUUAAGAAAAAUAAUAAAAUAUCCCAAAAACUCUAAGCAUACACAACAAGUUGAGUACCAUUUAACAAAUUCUUGUGGUGAGGAAGUGUUUUUUUACUUUCUCUCAUAAUUAUGUUAGUUUUCUAUUACAAAGUAUGAUUAAAUUUGACAAUACAUACAAAAAUAUGUAAUUAUAGCAAACUUAGUUGGAAGAAAAAUUUUUAUUCUUCUAAGCUUAUUCUUCUUGAUGGUUGGUCUUUUAGAUACUUAGUGGAAAACAAAUAUUUUUAAAGGAGAAAAUCUACUAUCAAAUCCAUCUUUACAAAUGAAUAAAUAAUAAUAUAAAUAUAUAUAUAUAUAUAUAUAUAUAUAUCAUUGUAAGUAAUAAAAUCAUAUUAUAUCCAAAAUUUACUUCCUUGAGAACUUGAGGGUUUACAAAAGAACAAACAUAUUAGAUUUAUUAAAAAUCAUUACAAAUAAUAGUAUCACAUCAAAGUCAUCAUUAAUUUAUGUUAUAGAUUCAUCUUCUUGUUAAAUAGAAAUAAUUAUUCAAAGAGUUUUAGAGAGCCAUUUUAGUAUGCAAAGAAAAAAUGAGUGAUAAAUAAAAAAGACUAUCAUAAUAAAUAAAUAUAAACCAUACAAGAAUUGAAUUUUGGAAAGCUUACAAAUUUAAAUUUUACAAUAAUAAGUCACAAAAGUUCAAAAUAUCCACAAUUGGAAUCAUAAUUGUGAUGUAUCGAGCAAUUAGUCAACAAUAAAGAUAUAUAGAAAAAAAUCUAAGUAGUAAAUAAUAUAAGAACAUCAAAUUUAUUAAUAAUUAACAAUAAAAUUUGGAAUCUACAUCCAAUUAUGACAAGAGAAUAUGGAUGUAUUAAUAAAAGAAAAUCUACCAAGUUUUUUGUGAUUUAGUACUUGCAUACUAUUUUCUUGUCUAUUUUACAAUCCAAUAUCAACAUAUAAGGUAGCCAAUCUAUUGUUGACCAUCCCUUCAUUUUCAAUCUACAAAGGAUCAUAUUUCGGCUAUGUUGGCAAUCUCUUAUCUACUAAGUUUGACAUUUUAAAGUCAACAAUAGUUUGGGAGCCUUCCAGAAAUGAAUUAAAUUCUAAUUAAAAUAAAUUUCUAGUGACUAAUAAAAACUAAUUUUUGUAUUAAUAGAGCUGGAUACAUGUGGCAGCUGAUUAUGGAUUUGCAAUUGCUUUGUUUAUAUUUAUGCUAUAGUUGGUAUGAGUGCUUCUGAUAUUUAAAAUUACAUUAGCCAUAUGAAAAAAAUCCAUACAUAAUUGGUUGUAAAUAAAAUGAAGAUAGCUUGUGUUUCUUCUCCACAAACAACCAGUCAAUUUCAAUGUUAUAUUAGAAGAAAAUCACAUUAAAUAAGAAGAAAUUUUUGUAGUCUUGAUAUUUUGAUUGCUUUUGAUUAUCUAUCUUUACCAUUCUAAUGUGCACCACUACUAUGUAUAUUUCUUUCCAAUUAGCCCAUAACUUCACAGUGUCUAAUUAGCUCUUAACUUUGAGUUAAAAAAUGAUCCUUCAGUUGGUUUUUUUCUUAGAAAUUCAAACUGAUAUUUUUGUAAUCAAGGAAAGUGGGUGCAGAGAAAGAGGAGGGAAAGGAAGGAGGGAAAGAAGAAAAGUGUCUAUGUCGGAAUAUUAAUUUUGAGGGAUCAAAUUUUUGCUACAAUUCUAUAUUAUUGAAAAAAGCCCUAGAGAGGUAAUUAAUAAAAAUUUAAAAUAUAAAAUAUAAUAAAAAUUUAAAAUAUAGAAUAUAAUAAAAGUAAAAAAAGAAGGUGAGUGCAUGUCAUGGAUAUGCAUAUUUAUUUUAAUAAUUACCUAUAUGAUUAGCUAGAAGUAGAUAAAAGUAGAUUAAUUUUAUAAUAUGUUAUAAAAAAAACUUUUUAGAAGCUUCAUAGAUGUAUUUUCUAUUUUACACAUAUUUAUAGUUGAUUAGUAUGUUAUGUUAGGGACCAUAUAUAAGACAAGGAUUUAAGACCAAGGAAUGGAGUUAAUUAGACAUUAAAACAACAACUAGAUAUAAGACAAGAAGGUCUUGGUUAGAUCACAAGAAGCGAGUUGUUGAGACUAAGGAUUCCCUCAGCCUUGACUCCUAUAUAUACUAGGUCCUAAAAAGCUUCUUGAGAAGUUUUUGUGAAGCUAGAAAACAAAAUAAGCCUAAGAUUCUUCUUUAGCAACUUCCUAAAUCAUCUAAAGCCUCCUAGAACCUUCUAAGAUCUCCUAUGACCUUCUAAAACUUUCUUAGAAUCUAUUGGAACCUUUCGAAACCUUCUAGAAUCUCCUAAAAUCUCCUAGAACCUUCAAAAGCCUUCGUAGAAUCUAUGAUAUCUUCUAGAACCUUCUAGAACCUUCAAAAGCCUUCGUAGAAUCUAUUGAUAUCUUCUAGAACCUUCUAGAACCUUCUAGAAUCUUCUUUAGUUGUAUGUUCAUGACAUCAUUUCUUCUUCUAGCUUUGACAUCUCUGAGAAGCAAUGUUGUAGUAAGUUAAUAUAUGCAUAAGAAGUUGAAGAUCUGUCACAUGGUGUUAGCUAUAUAUUCCAGUUUUUUUUUGCGAGGUAAAUGGUUCAUAGGCCCUUGUAGCCAUCAAUAGUGCCUCAAGCCUUCUACUUGUGAUUAAGCAUAAACUUGGGUAUUUUCAUUAUGGAAUUGUUCUACAAACACUCCUUCUAGAUAUCCUUUAUAGGCAGGUUCUAUCUCAAACAUAAUUACCAACAACCUAUUACUAGGUAUUUCUUGAUGUCUUCAUGGUUUAGAUAGUUCUUUAUCUUGAGAUCAUUUCCGCAAGCUACUUGGUUGAGAUGGUAUGACCGGCAAGGCAUCUAUCUCUUGACUAUCCAUAUCAUAUAAAGUAGACAAGGCUAAAAGAAUAUAAAUAGGCUAUGGUCAUGAACUCAAACUAUUGACUUAUAUUAUUCUAAAUAUUUCACAACUAUCACUUCAAAGGUUGCAUCCUCCCCUUCUUUAUGACGCUGUCAUGUUGUGACACAAUUAUAUGGUGAAAAUAUGACUAAAAAUGAUUUUUUAAUUAAUAUUCUAUUAUAUUAGUCCAACAAGAAUUCAAAAUAUUUUAAUAAGGCUUUUAUGAAAGCCUCUUAGCCUAUUUUCUUAUCUUAAUAGCAAGUAGUUAAAAGUUAAUUAAUAUUUUUACCUUAUAGAAUAUAAAAACUCUUUUAUUACCUUAGAAAGGCCAUAAAUUGAUAAAAUCAAGGUAGAAGAGAUAAAUAGUUGGUAUGAUUGAUACUAGGAUUAAGUUGACACUAGGAUUGGGCUAAAAAAUCCUUAAGAUAGGUUAGAUUGAUACCUCGGGGUUGACCAUUUCUAAGACAAGGUUGAAAUCAGAUCUUUGGUCACUAAAUUGACCGCUUAGGAAAAAUUAAGAAUUCAUUUGAAGAUUGGAAGUUAGAAUUUAAGAGCUAGCUUGAAGCGCUUUCUAGAGGCAUAAGGAUUAUUUUUGUAGGAUUUUUGAAAACUUAAAAAUUAUUGUUCAAAAUCAGGGUUUGUAUUGGUGAUGUGGGUUUUAUAUAAUAUAAUUAGGACUAGCAAUUUUGGCUAGUUCAUACAAUUGGAGUAACAUCGAUAGUUCAAAAAUUUGAAACUAUUUGAAUUAUUAAAUAUGCUAAAUUUAUACAAAAUUUUGUGAUAAUCUAACAAUGUGGUUUAGAGAUAUUUGGUUUUUAGCACAAGAGGGUUUUAGAAGUUGGCAAUUUGGAAUUGGGUAGGGUUUCUAUGAUAUCUAGAGUUUUAUUAGUUGAAUCAAGGUGAAAUUUGGCAUGGUAUUGAAAGACUUGAAGAUCAAGUUGCAUACCAAUUUUGAAUCAAAGUUAAUGGUUGAAGAAUGAAAAAUUAUUGCUGGGAUUUUUGCUUCAUUCUUCAAGUUGGUGGCUCAGUUAUAUUAGUGCAAUUUUUGGAGGUUUUCUCACAAUCUAAAAGUUGGAUUGGACUGAAAAUUCUUAAGCGUAUAGAAGACUUGUAUUAAAAAUUGCACAAAAAAAUUUACAUCAAGUGGAAGGUCAAAUUAGAAGUUACAGCUUGUUAAAGCUCAUUGAUUAAGAUUGGGACUUAUAAGAAAAAUUUAAAUUGCUUAAAUAUGAAAGUAACAAGAUAUUGAGAUUUAUAUGUGAUUAAGGCUACUAAGAAGAGUAUUUUUUAGCACUUAUGAAUUAGAAUUUGAAUUAUAUUCUUCUCAUAUGGAUGAAACCUAUUAGGCUUUUGGAUGUUUAUGAAAUACAACCUCACCUUCCACAGCUAAGUGCCCAGUGCAUUUCCAAGCAAGAUAACAUAUAAUACGAUAACGCUAAGAACUAAAAAUCUUUAUGGUAAAGCCAUCUUACUAAACUAUUAUUCUUCAUUUUGCCACUUUUGGUUUGAAUGGAUGUUGUUGAUAGAACCUUCGAACCUUCAUUUGUGCAUUUAUAAGGUUGUCAGCUGGUUCCCAUGUGUAAUCGUUGAUAUCAUAUCCAUGCCAAUGGACUAGAUAUUCAAGCCUUUUAUGUUUUAUCUUUGAAACUAAUACCUCUUCUACUUCAAAUUCAACAUAAUCAUUGAUUUUAAUUAUAGGAGGUGGUGGUUGUCUUUGACCUAAUAUGUUGAAUUCUUUAUACCUUUUCAAAAGUAAAACAUGAAAGACUAGAUGAAUCUUCAUAGAUGAAGGUAAAUCCAAGUGAUAAGUUAUAUAAUUAAUUUAUUUCUGAAUCACAAAUGGUCCUAGCUUUUGAUAGUCUAACUUAUAACAUAACGUGUUGGUUUUUAUAUUGCACCAAAAAAGCCAUACUUUGUCACCAACUUGAAAUGAAGGAUGUUCCUUCCUCAAUUCAUCCGCUAGUAGCUCAUAAUGUUAUUGAACUAUUUCUAGGUGAGUCUUAAUAGUUGCUUGAAGUUUGGCCAUCUUUUUAUAAACUCCUCUGUUGUUGGAUUUGUUGACUUUGAAGGCUCUAUCAUAUCCAACUUUGAAUGAUGACCAUAAUUUGAGUAGGAUGGCAUUUGCUGCGUAGAUACAUGGAUUGUGUUAUUAUAUGCAAACUCCACCAAUGACAUAUAAAAAGUCCAAUCAUCUUGUUGAUAACUGAUGGUACAUCUCAAAUAUUGCUCAAAGAUUUGAUUGACCCACUCCAAUUGGCCAUCAGUUUGAAGAUCAAAGGUAAGAGAAAGGUUGAUGUCAACUUUAAGAAGCUUAAAAGGUGCCUUUUAAAACCUUGAUACAAAUUGUGAUCCACAAUCAGACAUAAUGUCGUCUAAAAAUCCAUAGUAAUGAUAAACAUUUUCAAUAAAGAGUCUUGUCAUCUCUUCAUCAAUAAUUGACUUUUUGCAAAAUAUAAAAUAUGCCAUCUUGGUCAAUCGAUCAAUAACUACAAAGAUAGUAUCAAAUGAGUUUGAUGGUGGAAGAUCUAUAAUAAAAUCUAUAGAAAUAGGUGACCAUGAUUGUCUUGGAAUAGGAAGGGGUUGAAGAAGUCCAUAUAACUGAUGUCGAGGGUUUUUUGACCUUGAACAAGUAUCACAUGAUAGUACGAAUUCUUUAAUGUCCUUUAACAUUUUAGGCCACCAAAAGUCUCUAGAUAGAAGUUCCAAGGUCUUGUUGAAUCCAAAAUGUAUCACUACAAGAAAGUCAUGAUGUGUUUGAAGAAUGCACAAGCAAGUUAAUCCUUCAAGAAUGAACAAAUGUUCUUCAAAGAAUAAGAUGUUGUCUUCAUACUUAAAUUUAGAAGACUCUUCAGGAAGGUUGUUGAAAAAAUAGUUGAUAUUAAGAACAAGAGGGUCCAUGUUUGAGGCUUUAUAAAUUUGAUUAAGAAAUGAUAAAUCUACAAGGAUUGAUAUAUUGAUUGCUCAAAGGUGAAAUUACUUAGGUUUUAACAAGAUUAUCCAUUAUUGAUCAUAUGCUAUCUCGUCUUCUUUUGGUUCAAGGUAGGAACAUCUUUAUAAUAUAUUUAAUAAUCCUUAUUGACUCUCAGAUCAAUAUGUGAUGCAAAAGUCAAAUCAUGAUAAAGAUAUAUUCUAACGUCCUUGGUGACGGUUUAAUAUUUAGGCUGACAUGAAGUAUUUAAGAUUCUUGUGAUUUGUAUAUACAAUCACAUGUAGAGACGAGCCUUCAAGAAAGUGGCUCCAUUCUAGGAAAGAAUCUAUGAUAGCAAAUAACUCUUUAUUGUCAAUUUUAUAAUAAAUUUUUACUACUGAGAAUUUUUUAGAAUGAAAUGCAAUACGAUGAAGUUUUUCAUCUUCUCCAUAUUAUGACAAAACUGUUGCCAAUGCAAAGUUUGAGGCAUCGGUCUCUAUAAAAUAGGGCUUAUUAAAAUGUGGAUGUAUCAAAAUUGGAGCUGAUGUAAAAGCAUCUUUUAAGCUUUCUCUACUUUGAGGCUCCAGUCAAGUUUGUUUUUGCAUGUCAACCACAUAAGUGGAGCUGCAAUCUUGGAGUAAUUAUUAACAAAAAUCUUAUAGAAGUUUGCAAAUCCAAGAAAACAUUGGACAUCAUGUAUAAUUUUUGGCUUUGUCCAAUCGAUGAUUGCUUGUACCUUCUUUGGAUCCAUAAAAAGGCCUUUGUUGGAAAUAAUAUAUUCAACAAAUUUGACUUGAAGUACAUGAAAUACAUACUUCUCCAGUUUUGCAUGUAAGACACUACUUCAUAGUUUUUCUAGUAUAAGGCGGACAUAUUUUUUGUGGUCUUUCAGAUUCUUAGAAAAGAUCUGAAUAUCAUACAAAUACAUCACAACAAAGUUAUCAAGAUACUCACAAAAUAUGUCAUUCUUUAAGUGUUGAAAUAUAGCUGGAAUAUUAGUAAGUCUAAAAGGCAUGACAUUGUAUUCAAAAUAUCCAUACCUAAUGCAAAAUGUUGUCUUCCAUUCAUCUCCCUCAUUAAUAUGUACUAAGUUCUAUACGCCUCAUAGAUCAAUCUUUAUAAAGAACUUUGCUUAGCUAAAUUAAUCAAAAAGUUUAGAUAUCAAUGGCAAUGAAUAUUCAUUCUUUACCAUGAUUUUAUUAAGAUUGCAAUAAUUGACACACAUUUUUAAGGAUCCAUCUUUCUUCUUAAAUAAUAUCGGAGCACCAAUUGUUGACUUGGAAUAUCAAAUAAAAUUCUUAGCCAGAUUUUCCUCAAUGUAUUCUUUUAAAGUCGCAAGCUCAUUCUGGGAUAAAUUAUAGAUGGAUCCAAAUAGUCAUUGAAUACCUUCUUAAAGGUCAAUUACACAAUUAUAAGGACAAUUCUUUGGUAGGAUAUCCGUUGUCAGGGUAGAAGGAGUUUGCCUCAAAAAAUCACUGGAUUCUUGGCUAUCACUAAUUACUCAAUCAAAUCUUGAAAUAAGAAAGACCAAGUUUAUAUGUAUAUAUAUAUAUAUAUAUAUAUAUAUAUAUAUAUAUAAUAAUUUUAGAUGCUAUUAUACUAAAUAUAUAAAUCUUAAGUUCCCAAAAAUAUCCAAAAUAUGAUAAAACUCCUAAAUCCUUAAAUAUUCUUAUAACCUAUUAUUUCCAAACUUUAAAAACUCAUAUCUUCUACUCAGAACGUUCAAACACA